rnacentral:rRNA from 1 species
GGGGCGCUUACCACUUUGUGGUUCAUGACUGGGGUGAAGUCGUAACAAGGUAGCGCUAGGGGAACCUGGCGCUGGAUCACCUCCUUAAACGAUGAU